GUGGGAGCUGAGAGAAAGGUGGGUCCCACCUUGCUACUAUUAAACCCUUCGGAGAGGGACACAAUUUUGUACGGUUGACUUUGACUCUAAGAGACGGAUUCUGACUAGCUCCAAAGAUAAAUUAGUGACUCCGGUUUAAGUUGUUCAGCGUGAGUGUACGCUAGCCGAAGGUCAAGUAUAAGGAUAUGUAUAUGAGCUCAUUUGGGGGUCCAUGUACAAGUAUGUGAGCCGUGUAUAGAGAAAUA